AGGACGAACGCUGGCGGCGUGCUUAACACAUGCAAGUCGAACGGUAAGGCCUUUCGGGGUACACGAGUGGCGAACGGGUGAGUAACACGUGGGUGAUCUGCCCUGCACUUUGGGAUAAGCCUGGGAAACUGGGUCUAAUACCGAAUAUGACCAUUGGUUGCAUGACUGGUGGUGGAAAGCUUUUGCGGUGUGGGAUGGGCCCGCGGCCUAUCAGCUUGUUGGUGGGGUUAAGGCCUACCAAGGCGACGACGGGUAGCCGGCCUGAGAGGGUGUCCGGCCACACUGGGACUGAGAUACGGCCCAGACUCCUACGGGAGGCAGCAGUGGGGAAUAUUGCACAAUGGGCGCAAGCCUGAUGCAGCGACGCCGCGUGAGGGACGACGGCCUUCGGGUUGUAAACCUCUUUCAGUAGGACGAAGCGCAAGUGACGGUACCUACAGAAGAAGGACCGGCCAACUACGUGCCAGCAGCCGC
rnacentral:rRNA from 1 species